rnacentral:rRNA from 1 species
AUUGAACGCUGGCGGCAUGCUUUACACAUGCAAGUCGAACGGUAACAGGCCGCAAGGUGCUGACGAGUGGCGAACGGGUGAGUAAUGCAUCGGAACGUGCCCAGUCGUGGGGGAUAACGCAGCGAAAGCUGCGCUAAUACCGCAUACGAUCUAUGGAUGAAAGCGGGGGACCGUAAGGCCUCGCGCGAUUGGAGCGGCCGAUGUCAGAUUAGGUAGUUGGUGGGGUAAAGGCUCACCAAGCCGACGAGCUGUAGCUGGUCUGAGAGGACGACCAGCCACACUGGGAAUGAGACACGGCCCAGACUCCUACGGGAGGCAGCAGUGGGGAAUUUUGGACAAUGGGCGCAAGCCUGAUCCAGCAAUGCCGCGUGCAGGAUGAAGGCCUUCGGGUUGUAAACUGCUUUUGUACGGAGCGAAAAGGCUUCUUCUAAUACAGGAGGCUCAUGACGGUACCGUAAGAAUAAGCACCGGCUAACUACGUGCCAGCCGCCGCCGCAGUAA